CACCUUAACCUAAGGGGGCCACAAAUGGAGGAGUGAUGAAGGGUCCAGGGGAGACAUCGUCUCUGAUCAACGAGGAUUCUCUAUCGCAUAAGCUUCAGCAAUCAUAGUGAUGAUUCAUUGAUGGUAUUAACCCGUAAGCACAACAAUAGCUCAUUUAGGGUUUGGUAACGGGGACCAAGUGGAGAUGAUGGUGCUGUUUGAUAAGCACAAUUAGAAUAAUACACUAAUAUGC
rnacentral:lncRNA from 1 species